GAGCAGUUCAACAAUGGCACAAUAAGUCAUGCAGAUUUUACACCGAAGCAAAGAUGAAAAGGAGUGUAAGAAAGGAAUUGUUCUUCCAGAUGGCAUGAAUCCCACAGUGAAGAAAUCAGAAUACGUUGCUUUUGUGAGGGGCAGCUGCUGAUUUUCUCUGAGCUCUGUUUCCAGCCUUCACAUGCUCUGCUGUUCAUCACAGGGUAAAUUCUGACUAUAGGAGGUACUGACAGAAGAUUAGGGAAGAACAGAGGGCUAAAUGUUUAUUGACUUCUUGAAAAAUGCUAUGUGUCUUGCCAGACUUAGCUUACAAGUUUGGUUAAAGAGAGACUGACAUGAGCAUAAAGGAAGGGACAUUGAAAGAGGCAGAGAUGAAGGAAGAAAUUGUAACUUACUCCUUUUAUCCCACCCAUCAAAGGAAAGACAAGUUGACAUGACAUGAGAACAUACAACAAUGGUUGAGCUCCAACUCUGUAUUCAAGAAGGAUCAAUUUUACACAGUUUAGGUUUAAUGCGACUGAAGUGAAGAAAAGUAUAUGAAGUGUAUUUUCUUUUUUGUCAGGCCAUUAGUUGCAAUAUGUAUGAGAGAAAUUAGGAUCUUGGAAGUUACACAUCAGAAUACUGUUUUAUAAUUACCUUAUACUUUAUUUUAAAGAAUAGAAACAUACAAGUAAUUUGGAGAAAAUCGUGCGCUGUAUAGAUUCCAGAUACUCAGGUAAACGGUUGCCAUAAACAGGCCUUAGCGUUUUCAUCUCCUUUGUAUGGCACAAAAUAAAUAUGCCAUAAGAUAUGUGUUUAAUGGGGAAAACGAUAUGAAAGAAAAUAAUUCUUAAACAGAAGAACACUCCACAAAACGUAUCCAGUGAGGACCAUCAGGAGACGCAGACAAAAAAAACGCUUCCCUCUCUGCUCCGAGACCCCCUGAGACAAGGCUUACAUGAGAAAAGGAAUGUGCAUCUCAUUAAAAAUUGUAGUCUCAAAAAUGUCGUAAAUCUUUCAUUUCCUACUCAAGAAUGUAGUCCUCCUGCAGCCUGACAGAGACAGAGAAAGGAAGCAAGGCUUUUUUUUUUCAUCUUUUUCUUAAGUUAAUUAAGAGUCUGCUGUAGCUCUAAAGUGUUUUCAUUCUUACAAAGAAAGAAAAUGAUGGCAAGUGUGUUUUAAGAUGUAAUAGAUGCUUCUUCAAAGCAAUGAACAUAAUGCACUUGGGAAUAGUAUCGCCACAAAAUGAAAAAUUUAACUCUUGCAUUUUAAACUAACAUAGAUGAGCAUGGCUGGAAAAUGAGAAUUUACAUAAAUAUUCUCUUAGUACCUACAGCAUUUGUGGAAACUUUUGAAUACAGUAAUUGAGUAAUUUCGAUAGAGUGUAUUUCUAUUCCAUCGAACUCUAAGUUGGCUAAAUAUGAAAUACAGAAGAGUGACAAAAAUGGAAUGCUGGUUUGACUUACGCCUUAGUAGAUGGAACUCAUCAGUAAUAAAUGCAUCUUAUAACAGCAAAAUACUGCAAGACAAGUGGUAUAAAAUAUUGGGUAAUAAAUUCAGGAAAUUAUAGUUUGUCUCUCGGAAGAUAGUUGAUGGCUCAGUCUGGUAACUAAUGCUCAUUCUAAGGUUGUCCUCCAAAUGAACGAAUUCACAAAGGAAAUAGACUAAAGGGUCCUGAAAAAAAGCAAUCAGUUGCUUUAUCCACCUUUCCUCAAUUCCUCUAGGGUAUCUGCAGUCUUGCCAAUUAGGCCUGCAAAGGAAACAAACACACGUGUGUUCCAAUCGGAGGAGUCAGAAGUCACUAAUGAUGCAGAAAAGCACAUUCCAAGUUUUGGCAAUGCCAUAUAUGUUAGAAAUUAUACUACAAUGCAGUUAGAAAAUAUAUUUUUUAAAAGUCCAAAAUGAUGAAGGAACUAUUUGGGAUCAGGCUGCAAAGCUCUUUAUUAUCUUUUUGCCACUAUAUAAAUAUGGAAAUUGAAAAUAGUAUUGAUUCUGCACCAAACUGAGAAGAAACCUGGCGAUUCACAACAGAUAGCUGAGAAAUCCUAAGUCUGGAUUCCAGCUAAAUGGGAGCAGACUAAAUAGAGCGGCAGUCGGCGAACUACAUGUAGCCCAUGAACAAAAUCUGGUCCAGCACGUGUGUUUUUUUUUUUAUGGCCCACAAAUGAGUCUGUCUUUACAGAUGAGUGUUAAAACUGGUUUGACAAGAGAGAACACUCACUUUGAACCCCAACUAAGCAAAAUAUUAUCACCUUUCCCCUCAAAAAAGGUUUUUGUUCUUCUCAUUAGUAAAUUUGUAUUAUGACAAAA